rnacentral:misc_RNA from 1 species
AACCAAAAUGGCUUAAGUCAUUUUAGCAAUGGGAAGUCCAGUUUCAAGCCCAAUUCAGCAUGUAGUCUGCAAUUUGAUAUUCACGCUCCUAGGUCCAUAAUUCUUAACAUGGUAUUAGAGUAGUAAGGCCCAAUGGUUGUAGAUCUGGGACUCGAAAGCAUGGUGAGUUGAGCCCCAGCAAGCUAGACUCAUGAGUUGAGCCCUAGCGAGCUAGCCUGGGGUGGAUCCAUGAGCUAGCCCAGUGAACUAGACUUUGAGGACAGAGCCAAGAGGAGCCAGACUCAAAUUAAAUGGGCCACCCCAUGCAAUGGCAAGUGACAAUUGAGCCUGUGAACCUGAGUUUAACCCAGUUGCACUUGAGAGGGAGUGCUGGAAUAUCACUUGUGGGAAGAAGUCUCACAUUGGCAAUGUACAA